GGCUGGAAGGGCCCUGCCCAGAGCAGCAGCUGCUGCAUGCUGAGAGGAACUAUGAGGACCCUGUGGGUGCCCAAAGAGGCUUCUGUGCCCAGACCUGCGUUAAAGAUAAAGGAAAUCAGCUACAGUGAAGAAUUACAAGAGUUAGAUUAGUUUUGUGAUGUUACUAGACUUGAGAGUGAGUAGCAGGAGAGCAGAAUGCAGAAAAUGAAGUGGAGAAGAGAGGUGGACCCAAAGAAGGCAAGGGGAAAAGGCACAGACAAGAUCCCUCCAGAGCACAAAAAGAAGAAAAAGUGGAGUGGUAGACAUCGUUUAACUUCAGUUGGCACUGGAAGUAUCGCCUUUUACAGGAUGUCCACAGCACCACUGCCAAAUAUGAUCCAAAAGAUCACUGUGGGAUUCCUGGCAUCCUUGCCUCUGUUACACCUUUGAGUACAAGUGAGCAUGGGUUAUCACUGCCAACAAAUUCAUAUGACCAGUUCUGUGUGCUAGGUUACCUCAUGUGUGAUCUUGACAAAUUCUGGGCCCUUCUCUAUGCUGUAGUGUGGGAGCCAGGACAAUGUAAGAACAAUGGCAAUUGGCUCAAGUUCUCACCUGAAAGACCUCACUGGGCUUACUUCACUAGUUUCACUCUUCUCUGUAAUCAAGUUGAUGAAAAGCAACUUAAUGGAAUCAUUUGAUUUUGCUAUGAAGUGCUUGGACUAGCAUAUAAAAUUUCUUGCCAUCUAAUUUUUGUAAAGCUGUUAAAAACUGUAAUGAAGAUAAACAAUAGAAAACAACAACUAUAAAAAUACUCUUCAGAGUUAUGAUUAAUUUCUACCUUAUUUAGGUCUUGCAUUCUGACUAGACAUAACUCAAUGUUUGUCUCAGACAAUGCAUGUGAGCUAAGAAGUGGAGCUGUUUGUGUUUUGGUGGUUCAUUCGUUUAUUCUUCCAGACUGUGGAGAGCUGGUGUUGUCACAGCAAGGCAGCCAUAACAGUCCCAGAGUUGGGGCUCUGAGGAGAAGGCAGGACUGAUGGCACCUGCCCAGGGGUCCUUUGGGAAAUUGUGGCAGCUUGGCAGCUCCUUCCUUCAGCAGUCUGGAAGAGCACUUAGCCAGAGUCCCUGAGGGCUGUAGGAUGGGUAGGUGGAAAAGGGUUCAAGCGGAAUAGAGACAGGCAGUUAGGUCUGUCUGCAAAAGGAAUUGCUGGUCUGAUUUAUGUGUCUGCC